UGAAAAGAAAAAAGAUCAUUGUGUAAAGCGUAUUAGAAAUUUGAAUGAGCACUACAACAAAUUUCGUAACGAUUUAAGUUUUGAAGGGGAUCCUAUAAAGUAAUAGGGUGGGGCGGGGCAAGAUGGGUCGCGGGGUAAGAUGGGUCAGUGCCAUUUUUGGGCGCAUUACUUAUGUUUUGAUUAUGUUAAUAAUUUUGUUAGAUGACCAGCAUGAAUAUACAAAAGUUUGGGGCAUUGAUUGAAAAAUUAUUCACUCUCAUUGGAAAUAAAAAAAAUAAAAUGGUUUUUAGCCAUUUUUCUUAUGCGAUACAUUCCAUAUAAUCUCCAUAUAAACGGCCGCGGGGCAAGAUGGGUCACCUUCAAUUUUGAACGUAUUUUUGGAGCAUUCAAAAGAUAAUUAUUUUUCAUUACAAAACUAUCUCAUAAAUGACUUCAAUCAAGCGGAAUGAACGCUCAAAAUUAUAACAUAAAGUUAUGAUAAUUUUUUAGUGAAAACAUCGAUUUUCAAGUCGCCUUAGGACCACUCAAAUCGUAAAGUUUUCUAUAUUCCAAAUAAAUUUAUAAAAUGUUUACUAGUAGCUCUUGUUUACUCAGUAUGGAUAUGGAGCAUAUAUGGAUGCGGAAUAAAUCUUAUAUUUUGACGUUUUUCGUUGAGAAAAUGUGAAUUACUUAAAAGCUGACCCAUCUUGCCCCGCACUUUUUUGAAGGCGCAAAAUCGAUCACUUUUUAAAACUGCUUGUUUAAUAUCAUAUUUUGUAUUUAAUGAACUUUUUAUCGACUUUUAGCAUAGCUAACUUGUGUAUUAAAGAGUAGCGGACGAAUACAAACCAAUACGAUUUGUAUUUACAAAGUUAUGGUGAUCCAUCCUUAGGUGACCCAUCUUGCCCCGCGGCCGUUUAUAUGGAGAUUAUAUGGAAUGUAUCGCAUAAGAAAAAUGGCUAAAAACCA